GACACUCAGGCAGCCAUGUGGAGAGGGAGGCCCAUGUGGUGAGGAGCCAAGGCCUUUUGCCAACCACCAGCAAGGAGCCAAGCCCUGUCAGGGGGCCACCUGGGAAGUGGAUCCUCCAGAUCUAGUCAAUGGUAAAAUGACACACGGUCCCCAUGGAUGGCGUGACUGCAACCUCACGAGAGACCCUGAGCUAGAAGCACCCAGGAAAACCACUCCUGGAUUCCUGAGCCUCAGAAAUUGUGUGAGAUAAUAAAUAUGUGUUGCUUCCGGCUGCUGAGGCAUAGGGUGAUUUGUUACAUGGCAAUAACUAACUAAUACAGAGAGUGAAGACUCGUGCUUAAGAUGGUUUUGUCCUCUGGGCCUGCAAGAAGCAUAAACUACUUCCUCCCCCAUUCCACUGGCUAAAGCUGACUCACAUGGUCACACCUACCUACUAACUACAAGAGCAGUUGGGGCCAGUAGCCUCACUGUGUGCCCAGGAGGAGCACUCGGAUCAACAGCUGGUGGGGAGAGAGAGACACAGCCCAGGCUACCUGCUCAGCCGCUCAGAGAUACCCGGAAAUAAAAAUUCCUACACGUGGACUUGCUGGAAGGCUUGAAUGACGCGAUAGAUGCAAAAACAUCUGGACUGUUUCUUGUACAGUGUCUGGCACAAACGAUUGCACGAUACAUCUUUGUUAAAGGCGCAGGUGAAUAAAUGAUGGGAGCAUUCCUUCUUCUUUCUUCUUGGGAACGAGGAGAGCUCAGUUAGAGAUGUACAGGCUCAUAAUCAUCUCUUCCCUUUGGAUGCUGCUCAAGACUUCACAAAAUGCUUUCACACGCAAGAUCUCAGGCCAGUUCCACAUCAGGACAUCGCCACUGCCCACUCCUGGGGCAGUGGGGGGCAACCCUUAUUAAAGUACUUUGUCCAAUUCAGGAUUGAAGAAAAUCUAACGGACUUGGAGAGGGCCCAGAGGAACGCAAUAAAAAUUGAUUAAACAGACCUUCUGAAGAAAGGUUAAGAGAAUUGGGAUUAUUUCAGCUAGAGCCAUUGGUGGGGGGAAUAAUAAAUUUUCAAAAACAAAAGACUAUCUUGCAAAACUUUGUGGUUACUGUGGGCUAUUCCACUGAGGACAGCAAAGAAGGAAUUUUGAUGAUUUUCCUGUUCGACAUUAAUGAGCUGCCUCUCUCACCCUCUCUGCCCAUAGGAUAGCAGCCGCCACUGGCUCUCUGAAAAUUCUUUAUUGCAUUCGGACACCCUCUCAAGAGUGUUGUGAUGCUCUCAGGUGCUGUGAGGUCACCAGGGCAGGACAGAGAGGACACAUUUUAACUAAGUAAGAGGUUAGAUUAUAUUCAUCCCCUGACUUGGUGAGAGUCCAAGGGAGAAGACCAUGAACCCAAUUAGCCAGGGGCUCCAAAGGCAUUUAAGGACACUACACC